rnacentral:rRNA from 1 species
AUGAACGCUAGCUACAGGCUUAACACAUGCAAGUCGAGGGGCAGCAUGGUCUUAGCUUGCUAAGGCCGAUGGCGACCGGCGCACGGGUGAGUAACACGUAUCCAACCUGCCGUCUACUCUUGGACAGCCUUCUGAAAGGAAGAUUAAUACAAGAUGGCAUCAUGAGUCCGCAUGUUCACAUGAUUAAAGGUAUUCCGGUAGACGAUGGGGAUGCGUUCCAUUAGAUAGUAGGCGGGGUAACGGCCCACCUAGUCUUCGAUGGAUAGGGGUUCUGAGAGGAAGGUCCCCCACAUUGGAACUGAGACACGGUCCAAACUCCUACGGGAGGCAGCAGUGAGGAAUAUUGGUCAAUGGGCGAGAGUCUGAACCAGCCAAGUAGCGUGAAGGAUGACUGCCCUAUGGGUUGUAAACUUCUUUUAUAAAGGAAUAAAGUCGGGUAUGCAUACCCGUUUGCAUGUACUUUAUGAAUAAGGAUCGGCUAACUCCGUGCCAGCAGCCGCGGUAAUACGGAGGAUCCGAGCGUUAUCCGGAUUUAUUGGGUUUAAAGGGAGCGUAGAUGGAUGUUUAAGUCAGUUGUGAAAGUUUGCGGCUCAACCGUAAAAUUGCAGUUGAUACUGGAUAUCUUGAGUGCAGUUGAGGCAGGCGGAAUUCGUGGUGUAGCGGUGAAAUGCUUAGAUAUCACGAAGAACUCCGAUUGCGAAGGCAGCCUGCUAAGCUGCAACUGACAUUGAGGCUCGAAAGUGUGGGUAUCAAACAGGAUUAGAUACCCUGGUAGUCCACACGGUAAACGAUGAAUACUCGCUGUUUGCGAUAUACAGCAAGCGGCCAAGCGAAAGCGUUAAGUAUUCCACCUGGGGAGUACGCCGGCAACGGUGAAACUCAAAGGAAUUGACGGGGGCCCGCACAAGCGGUGGAGCAUGUGGUUUAAUUCGAAGCAACGCGAAGAACCUUACCAGGUCUUGACAUCGAUCUAAAAGGGAUGGAGACAUCCUCAUAGCUAUAGAGAAGACAGGUGGUGCAUGGUUGUCGUCAGCUCGUGCCGUGAGGUGUCGGCUUAAGUGCCAUAACGAGCGCAACCCUUGUUGUCAGUUACUAACAGGUUCUGCUGAGGACUCUGACAAGACUGCCAUCGUAAGAUGUGAGGAAGGUGGGGAUGACGUCAAAUCAGCACGGCCCUUACGUCCGGGGCUACACACGUGUUACAAUGGGGGGUACAGAGGGCCGCUACCACGCGAGUGGAUGCCAAUCCCAAAAACCUCUCUCAGUUCGGACUGGAGUCUGCAACCCGACUCCACGAAGCUGGAUUCGCUAGUAAUCGCGCAUCAGCCACGGCGCGGUGAAUACGUUCCCGGGCCUUGUACACACCGCCCGUCAAGCCAUGGGAGCCGGGGGUACCUGAAGUGCGUAACCGCGAGGAGCGCCCUAGGGUAAAACUGGUGACUGGGGCU